rnacentral:rRNA from 1 species
AGUACGUCGCAGAUGAACUCAAGGAUGACGGGCCCGCACAGCGAGGACAUGUGGUUAAUUCGAUGAUACGCGAGGAACCUUACCUGGGCUCAAAUGCAGGCAGCAUGAGGCGGAAACGCUUCUUCCCUUCGGGGCCGCCUGCAAGGUGCUGCAUGGUUGUCGUCAGCUCGUGCCGUGAGGUGUCGGGUCAAGUCCCAUAACGAGCGCAACCCCUGUCGUCAGUUGCCAGCAGGUAAAGCUGGGGACUCUGUCGAGACUGCCGGCGCAAGCCGCGAGGAAGGUGGGGAUGACGUCAAAUCAGCACGGCCCUUAUGUCCAGGGCUACACACGUGUUACAAUGGCCGGUACAGAGGGGAGCUACCUGGUGACAGGAUGCCAAUCCCGAAAGCCGGUCCCAGUUCGGAUCGGAGUCUGCAACCCGACUCCGUGAAGUUGGAUUCGCUAGUAAUCGUAUAUCAGCCAUGAUACGGUGAAUACGUUCCCGGGCCUUGUACACACCGCCCGUCAAGCCAUGGAAGCCUGGGGUACCUGAAGUCCGUGACCGCAAGGAGCGGCCUAGGGUAAAACGUAUGGGGCUAAGUCGUAACAAGGUAACCGUA